rnacentral:ribozyme from 12 species
UAUAUAUAUCUGCAUGUUUUUAGUUGGAAAAGAAAAAGAAAAAAGUGAAAUCAAUCGUAGACGUUGUAAUUUUGUUUAGCCUUUUUUUGUUUUGCUUCGUUUGUUCAACUUAAUAUAUCUCACUCGUG